ensembl:lncRNA
UUGUAAUUGUACAAUUAUCUAUAUUUUAUUAAAGAAAAUUGGGAUGCAGUAAUAAAAGGGCUUCUUAAAUAUAUAUAUAUAUUUGUUGUACCGGGGAUCGAACUCAGGUCCUUGUGCUUGUGAGGCAGGUGGCAUAACCAAUGAGCUAAAUCCCUGGCCCUAAAAUAUAUGUUUUUGAGGCAUGGUCUUGCUAUGUAGUUCAGGCUGUCCUUGAACUCAUCAAGUAGCCUAGGCUACUUGAGGCAAUCCUCCCACCUCAGCCUUCUGAGUGCUGGGAUUAAACCAUGCCUGGCCAAAGGGGCUUAAUUAGAAUAUCAAUAUGAGAUCUGCUCUCACCCAAAAUGGUGAGGACUGUGAACAGUAUUUCAACAUAACAGUAACAGUCUUGUAACAUAAAGUGACUUGCUGUAGUGGGAAAAUUGCAUACUGCUUCUGUUGAUUUUUAUCAAUAUCUAUAACUGGCAGUAAAGCUAAGUUUCAGUUAUAUUAGUGAAAAUAAAAGUGAAACAUUUUCCUCCUUCAAGUUCAUGGUUACCUGACAUCUAUCAGGUGAAGAAUCCCUACUUUAGGGAGAUAUUACAGUCAGGAUAUCUGAAAGGUUUAGAAGAGGCAAGUCCUUACAAAGCUUACAAAAUUCACUAUAGUAUAGCAGACUUCUGUGCUAUUUCUUUCCUGGUUAUCCUUGUGGAGUAUUAGUUUAGAUCUAAAAUGGCUCCCAAAGCCUUAUGUGUUCGGUAGGUGACGAAUUAUGGGGAGCACUAUAGCUAACUUAAGAGACAGUCUUGUCAGAAGAGGCAGGUCACUGGGAACAUGACUAGAAGAGUACAUCUCCCUCCCUGGCUGCCAAGAGGUACGGUCUUCUUUUGCAACAGACAAAUCUCUAAAAACAGGUGAACCAAAGCUAAACAUCUCAAUUUGUUGGUGUCAGGCAUUGAAUCCCAGGAACAAUAAAGUGACUAAGGCAGAUUUUGGUAACAGGAGUGGGGUCAUUGCUGUGAUGCUACCUGGCCAUGUGGUUUGGAAGCCUUUGGACCUGGUUCUUUGGGGCAGGGGUGUUUAGAAAGGUCUGGUAAUGCUAGCUAGAAAAGCCCUAGAAUGCUCUAAGCCAAGCUUGAUGGGAGAUUCUUGUCAAGAGCUCAGAAGACCAGAAUGCUGAAAGGCAGAUGGCAUCAAGACCAGGCUUGGGAAGUUUCAGUUUGGAACAAGGGCUCCAUUGGCAAUUGGACUUCAGGCCACGUGUGUUACACUGGCAGAAUCUUUGUCUACGUUCUGUUCAUGUCCUGAGACUUAGUGGGAGACUGAGAUUAAAGGUACUGGAUUACUAGAUCAGGAAAAAUUUCAAGGCAGGCCAAUGCUGAGGCUGUGUCAUGGGUAUUGUUGGCAGCCUUUAGCCAGAUCUAUAUUGAGAAUCAAGAGCAAACUGAAUAGCUGAGUGAUUUUAAAUUUUGAAUGUCACCAAAAAGGAAGUCCCUUGUAAAGUUUUGGCCAAGGAAAGCUUGGUUGCUAAAAAGAUUUGCAUUAGAAAGCCAAAUAUUUUACAUUAGGACAAUAGGAAGGAUGCCUUGCAGGCACCUAAGAAAUCUGCAAAACCCCACUCCUCUGAGGCUAAAGUUUGUUGAAGAACCUCAGGGCACCAUGCUGGAGAAGGGGUACCUAGGGAAUUGGUUCCCUAGGAUUUGGUUCACAGUGCUCAGCCAUUGAGGCACUCAGGGGCGCUGCAGCCAUAAUAUAAGAGGCCCCAGCUACCACUUGAGCUGGUGGCAGACCUUGGCAUCAUCCACAUGGUGCUGCUUUUACAGGCAUACAGAAUACAAGUGUUGUGGGGUCUAGGAAGCUUCCAUCCAGAUUUUGAGUGUGCCUGAGAGGGCAGUGCAUGAAGCUGAAGAGUGAAGCUGGUGGUGCAGUGGAGACUCCAGGAAGUUACAGAUGCCAGGAAUGUGGAAUAUCAGCUAAGGAAUGCUACAGUGGAGCAAAGCUACCCUGAGAGAAGCCCUUGGGGUUCAAAUGGCAAAACUUCAGGGGUGGGGCCACCCAAGCAAUUUGGUUUCCAUCUCGCCACAACUUGGCGCAAGUAUUGGACAUGGAGCUACAGCAUUUAAUGCUGGGUUUCAGUCUUGCUUUGGUCCCACUCCUUUUUUUCUUCUCUAUUCAUCCUUUUUGGAAUGGGAAUGUUCAUUCCAUAGUAUUGUAUGUUGGAAGUAUUUAACUUUGAUUUUUACAGGUGCUCACAGCUAAGAGUUCACUUUGAGUCUUAGAGGAGACUUUGGACUUGAACUUUUCAGCAAUGCUGAAACUGUUAAAAACGUUGGCAACUCUUAAAACACCACCCAUGCCCUUCAUCCUUGGAGCUAGUCAAUUAUGGACUAAAAUGUGUGAGCCAAAAUAAACCUCUCCUCCUUUAAGUUGUAGGUGUUAGGUAUUGUGUCCCAAUGACGAGAAAGUGAUUAAGACAGGGGGUUGUUGCAGAUUCCCAUUUCCAGCUUGUCUGUUCAGGCCCCGUUGAUGAUGUGAGGACAAUUUCACCAACUCAAGUUCUCCUUUUCCUGACAGGCAGCAGCUUCUGAGUUGUGUCAGCUUGCCAGCUAACUGAAGGUCAAAGAAAAAGAAAGUUUUAAAUAAGAUUGUAUGUCCUCAGUGGGUAGGGGUGUAGCUCAGUAGUAGAGUGCUUGCCUAGCAAAUGCAAGGUUUAUAACCAGCACUGGUCCCCCAAAACCCAUUUUCUUUUACUAUAAUCAUUGUUCACUAAGCAGUGAACAUUUUUGACUUCCCCUUUUUAUUGUAAACAUACAGAAAAAUGCAUAAAGCAUAGGGGUUCAAUCGAUUAACUGUCAGCUGCUAUUUUGUAUAAGUGUAGGAUGUUCACUCUCAUUGCUGUGGUUCUUCACUAUGAACAGACCACGUUUUAAUGGGGGUGCUACAAAGAGUGCUGCUAUUCUACUUCUUUCUU